UUAAGAACAAAUACAGGGCGUAGUGGAAAAAUAAUUUUCUUUUAAUGUAGUGGGCGAGGCAAAUGACCUUUUAUCAAAAAAUAAAAAAUAAAAAUAUAAACUCCGAAGAGAACAGUGCGCUUGGGCCUUCAGUAAUCGUGACUUUAGCAGUCUCGACGACUGUCUCACGAAAUUCACCACCGCCGGUACGCCGCCGUGGUUGCUUGUCAGAGCACCAAAACGUCCAGAGCCAAAGCCCGCACCUUCUCGCUGACGCUCUCACCGGUUAUGCGAGGCAAGUCUAACUGUUUGUGAAAAGUUGCGAGUGGCAGGUGGGUUGGAGACUUUCGAGUUCCAAGUUCAUUUUUUUAGAUGAAUUAUGGGGCUGAGGUGUAGUGGUAGGCACCGAGGGUAAGGGGGAAGAUGCUUGAUCGGUUAAGUCGGCUGUUGCUUUUGCACUGCUGCUCCAAGGCCGUGGCUAUUUGUAGGUUUGAGCAAUCCCCGCGAUAAGUACAAAGGAACUAGGCUCAAUGUACCAUUCCAGAUUAUACAUUUAGUGGCUACAAUUUGAGAUUUUUAGUUUUCAUGUUUGUUGUUUCGAUAACAAGUUUCAGAUUCUCCUUUUUUUUGUUUGAAGCAGGCGAGGUUUCAGAUGAUUGAUGCUUUUGCUGGUUCGCAAGGCAUUGCAAUGAACACGGUCCAAUGCAAAGCUA